AGCAACAAAGAAAGCAGGAAAGACCGGAUGAAGCGAUAGGGCGGUUCACAAGUAACAUGGUAGUUAUGCUGAUAGAUGUGUCAGAUGGAGUGAAUGCAGAAUAAACAUGAUCCGGCAAAACAGUUGAAGAAAGCAGGAACAACAGGGCAAGAAAGCACAGUGUUCAUACUACUUGAAGAAAAUGAACAGUCUGAACCAAUCAGAACUUUACCCCUCAACCAAGAAGUUGUUAAGCGGAAGAAUCAACGAGCGAGAGGACACAGUACUUUGUUGCU
ncrna:unclassified sequences RAGATH-8 RNA